GACGGAGGGUGCUAGCGUUGUUCGGAAUUACUGGGCGUAAAGGGCGCGUAGGCGGCCUGGUCAGUCGGAUGUGAAAGCCCGGGGCUCAACCCCGGAACGGCAUCCGAGACGGCCAGGCUGGAGACCGGGAGAGGAGAGUGGAAUAGCCAGUGUAGAGGUGAAAUUCGUAGAUAUUGGCUGGAACACCGGAGGCGAAGGCGAAUCACUGGACCGCUUCUGACGCUGAGGCGCGAAAGCUAGGGGAGCAAACAGG
rnacentral:rRNA from 1 species